MAKGGAGCGGUAAUGAAAGACGGAGCAAUCUGUCACUUACGGAUGGGCCUGCGGCGCAUUAGCUAGUUGGUGAGGUAACGGCUCACCAAGGCGACGAUGCGUAGCCGACCUGAGAGGGUGAACGGCCACACUGGGACUGAGACACGGCCCAGACUCCUACGGGAGGCAGCAGUAGGGAAUCUUCCGCAAUGGGCGAAAGCCUGACGGAGCAACGCCGCGUGAGUGAUGAAGGUUUUCGGAUCGUAAAGCUCUGUUGCCAGGGAAGAACGUCGGRUAGAGUAACUGCUWCCGAGU
rnacentral:rRNA from 1 species